rnacentral:ncRNA from 2 species
UAGUUAAAGCACGGGAGCUUGUAAACAGGCUGAGAGGAAGUUGUGAACUUCGACCGCUAACCUGAUUUGGAUAAUGCCAACGUAGGGACAUACUCACUAACAAUAA